rnacentral:rRNA from 1 species
UGGGGAAUAUUGCACAAUGGGCGCAAGCCUGAUGCAGCAACGCCGCGUGAACGAUGAAGGUCUUCGGAUCGUAAAGUUCUGUUGCAGGGGAAGAUAAUGACGGUACCCUGUGAAGAAGCCCCGGCUAACUACGUGCCAGCAGCCGCGGUAAUACGUAGGGGGCUAGCGUUAUCCGGAUUUACUGGGCGUAAAGGGUGCGUAGGUGGUCUUUCAAGUCGGUGGUUAAAGGCUACGGCUCAACCGUAGUUAGCCUCCGAAACUGGAAGACUUGAGUGCAGGAGAGGAAAGUGGAAUUCCCAGUGUAGCGGUGAAAUGCGUAGAUAUUGGGAGGAACACCAGUAGCGAAGGCGGCUUUCUGGACUGCAACUGACACUGAGGCACGAAAGCGUGGGUAGCAAACAGG